GAUUAUAUAGUGUAAAAAAACAUGUUGCUUUGAAGGGGCAAAGAUAUAUUAGUUUAUAAUCA
rnacentral:tRNA from 1 species